ensembl:lncRNA
AUGUGGCGUGCAUCUAUCCAUAAAGUAUUCUUUUUUUCUUUACAAGGCCAAACGCUUUUGCAUGUUCCAGGUAAAAUGUUGGUCCAGAUCAAGUACAACGAACAGCAGAAGUAUGUGAAGCUGGAUUGCAUUGAAGGGAGGUUUGACUUCAUGCAAUUUCAAGUCAAAGUCAUUGAGAGAUUUUGUUUGCCACCUGAUGCAAAAGUAACAUACAGGGAUGCAACAGGGACAGAAGUCGAUGAAGAAAUAUUCAGUGACCUCAUUGGACAAGGCAAUGUGGUGCUGACUGUUUUCUCAAAUGACGAAUUUUCAGACUCUUUUUCUUCCACAUCUGAGAAGUCUGACAAAAGCAACAGUUCAAGUGCAUCGACUAUAAUCUUAGAUGAGGUCCCUAACAAGAGACAGAGAAAAGAGGACACAUCUGCACUGUCUGCAAAGCAGUUGGUCGAGGAUGUUCUUAAAUUGAAGUCUGGUGGUGAAGCAGUACUACAGGAGUAUCAAGAAACAGAAACCCUUACAGAUGCCACAAGAAGACAAAUGAUCAACAUUCUGGUGGCUCACAUGAUUGAUACACAUGGGCAACUCCCUACUAAAGCCAUCAGAGAACAGUAUGCUCUUGGCAUAGUGAUGAUGUUCCCUUCCCUCAGAGAUCCUUAUUCCAAGAAAGGAUAUGAACACUUUUAUGAUGCUGCAAGCAACACAGGAUACAUUGCUUGGCGUAUGAAAACAGUCCACAGGAAGAUUAGACGAGGAUCUUUGCCACUAGACAGCCCUCAUGAUGUUUCUCCAGGAGGCCCAAAAUGCCAAAGGGCUACUAAUUUUGAAGGGCAACUUGAUGGGGAUGCUUGCAGAGAGGCCAUUUCUUUGCUCAGCCACACUACAGAGAAGUCCCUAAUAUUCCAAAAGAUGAGAGAGACCUUUCAGCAUCGCCAGAAGCUUGUUAAAGAUCCAGGCUCUAGUGUUGAUAUCCUCUCCACCUUCCCAAGAUUCCUAGAUACAAAAGGCCUGGUUGAUCAAGACUUCACUCUCCUGUUUGACACCGAGACAUCCUCCAGGCUGCUUCAGAAGUGGGACACGUUCUUCAGGCCAAAUGUCAUUAGAGAGGCCAAGCAACUUACUUCAACAGCAGAGCUGAGUCAGUUGUUGCUCUCAGCAGAAUGUCCUAAAGGAAGUGACCUUCAUGAAACAAUCUACGACCAGGAAAUGGCAUCCCUUCUUUUACUGAUACAUCUCCUUCCACCAUCACCAGGAGGACCGAAGUCUCCAAAAAUCAGUGCAUGUGAUGCUGCUGAAAGACUUGUAAUCUUUCAUAAGUCAUGCUGCAGUUUGGAGGAGCACCUCAACAACAUCCAGCAUCAGCAUCCCUACCUCCUUGCUGUUGGACGCCAGAAAAGCAAGACUGAGUGCUUCUACAUCAUCUUGGAUAAGCAUCUCAUCCCAUGCCAGGCAAACCGCUCCCUUGGAGCAUUUGAUGAACUUUUCAAGGCACAUUUUGUGUUCAAUUUAUCCUAUGAUAGUGCACUUCUAAACUUUUACACAUUCCUGCAGACAACAGUGUAUAACAUUGAUGUAGGUAAGAUGAAGGAGUCUCCCAGGGUUAGAGAUUUGAGAGCCAGACUGCUCAACCAGACAGUAACCUUAACUUAAAGUCGGGCAGUAUGAUGUUGACAGAAUGCUGAUCUGUUUUAUUUGUCAAAAAGAGCACCCAGAGAGUCAACAGUUGAUUUCCCAUUUAAGAGGUGAACAUAGUUAUUAUCCUGGAUCUAAGUUCAAAUUAAUUUGUUCUCAGCAAGGUUGUAGGCAUCAGUUCCAAACAUAUGCAGGUUUUCGUAAGCACCUUAAUAGUGUUCAUAGCAGCAUUCAGCUGAUUGCUCCAACUUCAACUGUUGGAUGUUCCUCAAGUGAGCCAGUUGCAAGCUCAUCUCAUGCUUUGGAGGACCUUAUGAAUCCCCAGCAUUUAUCUCCUUGUUCCAGUGCUUUAUCUGAUAACAAUGAUUCAGGGCUUACUAAAAAUUCAACUAAAGAAUUGUGUGAAUCCAUUGUGGCCAAAAUACAAGCAAGUGGGAUUUCAAACAGUUUGGUGUCCUCAAUUGUCGGAGAUUUAGAGGAGCUAACAGAUGAGCUUAACUCUCAGGCAAAGCAUAACAUACUUUCUGCUUUGCCUACAAAUGACCCCCUACAAAAACUGUAAUAAAUGAAUCUUUUGAAAAAAAUUAGAAAACCCAUUCACAAAUUUGAAUACAGAAUGGAAACGUAAUAAAUACUUUAAAGAAAAAUGGGGAGUUGUAGAGCCCAAUGAGAUAACAUUAGGUGUGCGGUAUGACAACAAAUUGAAUAAGAAAUCUGGUACUUAUGACCAAGUUCCAGUGAAUGAUACUUUUAUAUAUGUGCCAAUUUUAGAAACAUUGAAAUUCAUGUGCAGAAAUCCAGACAUUUGUGAUCUCCUAAGGAAAGAUUGUAGAUCAGAGCCUGACACUUUUACAGAUUUUAGCGAUGGAAGUUAUUUUAAAUCCCACCCUUUAUUUACAACAAAAAGACAUGCAUUACAAAUUCAAAUAUACUAUGAUGAUUUUGAAACCGCUAACCCCCUUGGCUCCAAACGUAGUAUCCACAAAAUUGGCUGCCUUUAUUUUAUUGUAAGAAACUUGCCUCCAAAAUUUAACUCAGUUCUGAUGAACAUUCAUUUGUUAGCACUUUUUCACACACAAGAUGUAAGCAAGUACGGUUUUGAUGUUAUACUGGAUCCAUUGAUAAAUGAUAUAAAGAUACUUGAAAGCCAAGGAUUAAGUCUCCCAUUCUCAGAUGAGCAGAUAUACGGCACCAUCGCACAAAUCACUGGUGAUAAUCUAGGAAUGCAUUCAAUUCUUGGUUUUAAUGAGUCAUUUAAUAGCCAUCAUUUCUGUCGCCUUUGUUUAAUUGAAAAGAAUGAUUCUCAAACAGUAUACAGUGAGGAUGAUCCUAAGGUGGUCCUUCGUGGACAAGAAAUCUUUGAAAUACAUUGCAAGUCUCUCCAUGAAAACCCACAAUUGAGGUCACUAUAUGGUUUGAAAAAAAAAUCCAUAAUUAAUACACUGAAGUACUUUCAUGUUAGCAAUAACUACUCAUUUGAUAUAAUGCAUGACCUUCUUGAGGGCGUGGUUCAAUAUGAAAUCAAAUUGCUUUUUGGACAUCUCACACAAAACUUUAUAUCUGAAGAGGAUUUACUUUCAAGGAUUUAUUCUUUUGAUUAUGGAUUUUUAGAACGGAAAAAUCGUCCCACAAAGGUUAUUUUGGAUAGUGCUGGUAAUAGCAUUGGUUUAAAUUCCAUUCAGACAUUAUGUCUUGUGAAAAAUCUCCCACUUUUGUUAGGAGACAUUGUUCCUCCAGGACACAAACACUGGAGUUUGUUGCUUAUGUUACUUCAAAUAAUGAACAUUGUGUUUUCACCUUGUCUCACUUCAGGUUUGACAGUGUAUUUGAAGCACUUGAUCGCUGACCAUCACAAACUAUUCAAGUACUUGUAUCCUCAUAAAAAUUUGAUUCCUAAACAUCAUUAUAUGAUACAUUACCCUUCUUCUAUAAGGAAAAUUGGCCCCUUAUUAUAUAUGUGGUCAAUGAGGUUCGAAGCCAAACAUAAGAUGUUCAAAGAUUUUUUUAAAAAUUUCAAAAACAUAACAAAAUCAUUAGCUAAAAAGCAUCAGAUGGCCAUUGCGUACCAUUGGGAAACCUUCACCCUCAAACAUAAUGAGUUUGGGCCAAUUAAACCAUUUUCCAUAGGGAAUGAGGUCAGCAAUCAAAUGCUUGAAAUGUUCGUAUCAAAAGAUGUUUUCUCAACCAGUUGGGUUAAAGUUGAUGGUGUA